ACACUCCUGCGGGAGGCAGCAGUGGGGAAUUUUGGACAAUGGGCGAAAGCCUGAUCCAGCAAUGCCGCGUGAGUGAAGAAGGCCUUCGGGUUGUAAAGCUCUUUUGUCAGGGAAGAAACGGUGAAAGCUAAUAUCUUUUGCUAAUGACGGUACCUGAAGAAUAAGCACCGGCUAACUACGUGCUAGCAGCCGCGGUAAUACGUAGGGUGCAAGCGUUAAUCGGAAUUACUGGGCGUAAAGCGUGCGCAGGCGGUUUUGUAAGUCUGAUGUGAAAUCCCCGGGCUCAACCUGGGAAUUGCAUUGGAGACUGCAAGGCUAGAAUCUGGCAGAGGGGGGUAGAAUUCCACGUGUAGCAGUGAAAUGCGUAGAUAUGUGGAGGAACACCGAUGGCGAAGGCAGCCCCCUGGGUCAAGAUUGACGCUCAUGCACGAAAGCGUGGGGAGCAAACAGGAUUAGAAACCCUUGUAGUCC
rnacentral:rRNA from 1 species